rnacentral:lncRNA from 10 species
AGCUGGGGGUUGUGUUUCCACAUCAACAGUACUUCUGCUUUUAUCACAGGAGGAGAGCAGACUGGAGAACUGGAUGCCAACUAAAUGCUUCCAAAUUUGGAGUCAGACAUGUGGAUGGUGGUGUUGAAAUCUCAAUAUCUAACUGUUUAUUCAAUGAAAGCAAAGAAUGGAGCUUGGCUGGGACAGGAUUACCUCUUUCUUCCUUUUCUGUUGAAUAGUUCCAAGAGAAAAGGCUACACUGAGGGGAUCCAUCCUGGUGCCACGCUGUACUCAACCAGGGGAAUAAAGUUUCACAGUUUACUUUUUAGAGACCUUGUGAAUUAUCCUGUUGGGCUCAUGUAAUUGCAAGUGUCCUUAAAAGAUGAAAGAAGGAGGCAGAAGCCAAGACUUGGAGAGAUAUUUGAAGAUGGUCCACCGCUGGCUUUGAAGAUGAUGAAAGUAGAUUUGAGCCAAGGUCUUUAGAGGCUGGAAAAGGUCAGAAAAUAGAUUCUCUCCUAGAGCCCUCAAAAGGGACACCUCUGUCUGACACCUUUAUUAGGCUCACCAAGAUAGAUUUUGGAAUUCUGACCUCCAGAAGUGAAAGAGAAUACAUUUGUAUUGUUUUGAAAUGAUUAAAUGUAGGAUAAUUUGUUACAACAUUAUAGGAAACUGAUAUAAUAACUUAUCUAUGACUACCAGAAAUUGAAAUAUGAU